AUUGAACGCUGGCGGCAGGCCUAACACAUGCAAGUCGAGCGGAGCGGCGGACGGGUGAGUAAUGCCUAGGAAUCUGCCUGGUAGUGGUGGAUAACGUCCGGAAACGGGCGCUAAUACCGCAUACUAUCAGAUGAGCCUAGGUCGGAUUGGCUCGUUGGUGGGGUAAAGGCCUACCAAGGCGCCGAUGCGUAACGGGUCUGAGCGGAUGAUCAGUCACACGUGAACUGAGAAAAGGUCCAGACUCCGACGGGAGGCAGCAGUGGGGAAUAUUGGACAAGGGGCGAAAGCCUGAGCCAGCCAGGCCGCGUGUGGGAAGAAGGUCUUCGGAUUGUAAAGCACUUUAAGUUGGGAGGCGGUACCAAAAGAAUAAGCACCGGCUAACUUCGUGCCAGCAGCCGCGGUAAUUC
rnacentral:rRNA from 1 species